UUGCUCUUCAACGAGGAAUGCCUAGUAAGCGCGUGUCAUCAGCAUGCGUUGAUUACGUCCCUGCCCUUUGUACACACCGCCCGUCGCUACUACCGAUUGAAUGGCUCAGUGAGGCCUUCGGACUGGCUUGAGGAGGUUGGCAACGACCACCUUAAGCCGGAAAGUUCGUCAAACUCGGUCAUUUAGAGGAAGUAAAAGUCGUAACAAGGUUUCCGUAGGUGAACCUGCGGAAGGAUCAUUACAAUUCAGUAGCUUGCUACUGUCAGGAGGUGCUGUAAGUCCGCAUAGUUUAAUUACUGAUGAGCGGCAGGCCCUCUGUCUGUACCCUUGUCUUUUGCGCACUCAUGUUUCCUCGGCGGGCUUGCCCGCCGAUUGGACAAAACUAUAACCUUUUUAAUUUUCAAUCAGCGUCUGAAAAAACUUAAUAAUUACAACUUUCAACAACGGAUCUCUUGGUUCUGGCAUCGAUGAAGAACGCAGCGAAAUGCGAUAAGUAGUGUGAAUUGCAGAAUUCAGUGAAUCAUCGAAUCUUUGAACGCACAUUGCGCCCCUUGGUAUUCCAUGGGGCAUGCCUGUUCGAGCGUCAUUUGUACCCUCAAGCUCUGCUUGGUGUUGGGUGUUUGUCCUCUCCUUGCGUUUGGACUCGCCUUAAAGCAAUUGGCAGCCAGUGUUUUGGUAUUGAAGCGCAGCACAUUUUGCGAUUCUAGCCUAAAUACUUGCGUCCAUAAGCCUUUUUUAACUUUUGACCUCGGAUCAGGUAGGGAUACCCGCUGAACUUAAGCAUAUCAAUAAGCGGAGGA
rnacentral:rRNA from 1 species